rnacentral:rRNA from 1 species
UGGGGAAUUUUGGACAAUGGGGGAAACCCUGAUCCAGCCAUCCCGCGUGUGCGAUGAAGGCCUUCGGGUUGUAAAGCACUUUUGGCAGGAAAGAAACGUCAUGGGUUAAUACCCCGUGAAACUGACGGUACCUGCAGAAUAAGCACCGGCUAACUACGUGCCAGCAGCCGCGGUAAUACGUAGGGUGCAAGCGUUAAUCGGAAUUACUGGGCGUAAAGCGUGCGCAGGCGGUUCGGAAAGAAAGAUGUGAAAUCCCAGAGCUCAACUUUGGAACUGCAUUUUUAACUACCGGGCUAGAGUGUGUCAGAGGGAGGUGGAAUUCCGCGUGUAGCAGUGAAAUGCGUAGAUAUGUGGAGGAACACCGAUGGCGAAGGCAGCCUCCUGGGAUAACACUGACGCUCAUGCACGAAAGCGUGGGGAGCAAACAGG